rnacentral:rRNA from 1 species
UACAGAGGGGGCAAGCGUUGUUCGGAAUUACUGGGCGUAAAGGGCGCGUAGGCGGCCGCCUAAGUCAGACGUGAAAUCCCUCGGCUCAACCGGGGAACUGCGUCUGAUACUGGGUGGCUUGAAUCCGGGAGAGGGAUGCGGAAUUCCAGGUGUAGCGGUGAAAUGCGUAGAUAUCUGGAGGAACACCGGUGGCGAAGGCGGCAUCCUGGACUGGCAUUGACGCUGAGGCGCGAAGGCUAGGGUAGCGAAAGGG